AAUAUGGGGGGACCAUCCUCCAAGGCUAAAUACUACUGACUGACCGAUAGUGAACCAGUACCGUGAGGGAAAGGCGAAAAGAACCCCGGAGAGGGGAGUGAAAUAGAUCCUGAAACCGUAUGCGUACAAGCAGUGGGAGCAGACUUCGUUCUGUGACUGCGUACCUUUUGUAUAAUGGGUCAGCGACUUAUUUUCAGUGGCGAGCUUAACCGAAUAGGGGAGGCGUAGCGAAAGCGAGUCUUAAUAGGGCGUCUAGUCGCUGGGAAUAGACCCGAAACCGGGCGAUCUAUCCAUGGGCAGGUUGAAGGUUAGGUAACACUGACUGGAGGACCGAACCGACUACCGUUGAAAAGUUAGCGGAUGACCUGUGGAUCGGAGUGAAAGGCUAAUCAAGCUCGGAGAUAGCUGGUUCUCCUCGAAAGCUAUUUAGGUAGCGCCUCAUGUAUCACUGUAGGGGGUAGAGCACUGUUUCGGCUAGGGGGUCAUCCCGACUUACCAAACCGAUGCAAACUCCGAAUACCUACAAGUGCCGAGCAUGGGAGACACACGGCGGGUGCUAACGUCCGUCGUGAAAAGGGAAACAACCCAGACCGUCAGCUAAGGUCCCAAAGUUAUGGUUAAGUGGGAAACGAUGUGGGAAGGCUUAGACAGCUAGGAGGUUGGCUUAGAAGCAGCCACCCUUUAAAGAAAGCGUAAUAGCUCACUAGUCGAGUCGGCCUGCGCGGAAGAUGUAACGGGGCUCAAACCAUACACCGAAGCUACGGGUAUCACGUAAGUGAUGCGGUAGAGGAGCGUUCUGUAAGCCUGUGAAGGUGAGUUGAGAAGCUUGCUGGAGGUAUCAGAAGUGCGAAUGCUGACAUGAGUAACGACAAUGGGUGUGAAAAACACCCACGCCGAAAGACCAAGGUUUCCUGCGCAACGUUAAUCGACGCAGGGUUAGUCGGUCCCUAAGGCGAGGCUGAAAAGCGUAGUCGAUGGAAAACAGGUUAAUAUUCCUGUACUUCUGGUUAUUGCGAUGGAGGGACGGAGAAGGCUAGGCCAGCUUGGCGUUGGUUGUCCAAGUUUAAGGUGGUAGGCUGAAAUCUUAGGUAAAUCCGGGAUUUCAAGGCCGAGAGCUGAUGACGAGUUACCCUUUGGGUGACGAAGUGGUUGAUGCCAUGCUUCCAAGAAAAGCUUCUAAGCUUCAGAUA
rnacentral:rRNA from 1 species